AGGACACAGAGCUUUCACACGCCUGCCGUGUCAACAUUUUGUUCUGAAUGCAACAGCCAUAGGACAGGGGGAGGAUCAGAGGCAACAUGAAGAAGAGAGAGAGGAGUGUGUGUCAACAAACUGGGGCCUUAUUAUGCAAGAAUUUGCUUAAAAAAUGGAGAAUGAAAAGGGAGUCCUUAAUG